AUUCUGUGACUGCAAAGAGUGUCCAAGCACAUGUGUCUUCUGCAGCAUGGUCUGCCAGGGUUGGUAGUCUCCAAAGUUUACCGUGGACAUUUCCUCCUUCACUUCUUGGUCUGAGCGAGCCAGAGAGUGACUUCGAGCCAGAUUUGCGUUCCUUGCCUGUCUUGGUUUUCCAUGAGCCAAUCUUCAUGUGGAGCUUGUGACAUACAGGUGUUAUACCUUGCAAAUGAAUAAAUGAAUAAGGAUGAUGAUACGGCCUUCGCGUUUCCUCCCUGUACGUCCUAUCCUCUGCACCAGACGGAUUGGCGACUUUGGCGCAUCAUAGCAAAUGAUGAGAUCAACUUCACCAAUGUCCAAGCCUGCAAAUGUUUUACCCAAUUUACUAAUCUUCUUAGAAAGGUCCUGUUCCUUUUGUGGCAUUCAUCUGUUCUUUCAAAAAUAAAAUUGGUUGU